GGCUGCACCCUCCCCAGCUCCAUCUUCCGUCCUUGUCAGGACAGUCGGCUUUGUCCAGCAGGGAUGUCCUGCUAUAUGAGCGUGAAGUAGUUGAAGUCGGAGCUGCUCUGUUGAGUGGGGGAUAGGAGAAGUAGCUGUUCCAGGGGCUUGGUUUUUGGAUGCCUGUACUAACAGACCCUCCCCCCUGCUUCCUGGACCCACCCCUCUGCCCACAAAGACCCUCAAGACCCUGCUUUCUGCUCUCCACUUUCAGGCAUGUCCUGACCCAUGUCCACUUGCCUGAGUCCUCCGUUGCCAUCCCUGGCCACACUCUGGAAUCUGGAACCUGCAUUGAGAGACCUGUGUUCUAAGCCCUGGCUGUGUGUUCUGAGAUAGGCAGUAAACCUCUCUGGGCCUUGUUUCCUCCCCUGCCAAGGGGAUGAGGAUCCAGGCCUUGCUCACCCCAGAGGGACCAAGAUCGGGUGGCAGAGCUCUGGCAGGGAGGAAGCAUCCACCAUUAUGAAGAUGAAGAGCCUGAGGCUCUGAGAUGUCACAUGACUCACUCAAGGUCAUCCUACUGUGGCAGAGGACCUACUGGAUGCAUAGACCUGUGCGAGGUAUGAGAGUGUGAAGGGGCAAGGAUGGGAGACAAGAGAAUUCAUACCCUCUGGGAGCAUCCAGUCUGGCUGAGUGAUCAAGAUGCAGCCACAGGAUGCACACGGAGAUGUCUGCAUGUCCAGGUGAAUGUCAGAGGAGGCAGGAGUCCUGAGGGUCUGAGAGGGAGUGGCUCUGUAUCCAGAAUGGUCAAGAGGGCUGCCUGGAGAUGACUGAGCCUUGAGGGGUAGACAGGAUGGUAUCUUGGUGAGGGGCACAGCUCAUACAAAGAGGCAUGGAGGUGGGAAUGGUCAGGUGGAAGGAGCCAAACCUGGAUGGCUUUGUUUGGAAGGUGGCCUGGUGAACCACCUGGGACCCCAGGGAGAGCUGCAGGCUUGACUUUACCUCCACGCCUGGUGCAAUUCUGAU
rnacentral:lncRNA from 1 species